rnacentral:rRNA from 1 species
UACGUAGGGGGCAAGCGUUGUCCGGAUUUAUUGGGCGUAAAGAGCGUGUAGGCGGCCUGAAAGGUCAGCUGUGAAAACUCGAGGCUCAACCUCGAGACGUCGGUUGAAACCAUCUGGCUCAAGUCCGGAAGAGGAGUGUGGAAUUCCUGGUGUAGCGGUGAAAUGCGCAGAUAUCAGGAAGAACACCCGUGGCUAAGGCGGCUCUCUAGUACGGUACUGACGCUGAGACGCGAAAGCGUGGGGAGCGAACAGG